GUAGGUGGCAAGCGUUGUCCGGAAUUAUUGGGCGUAAAGCGCGCGCAGGUGGUCCUUUAAGUCUGAUGUGAAAGCCCCCGGGCUCAACCGGGGAGGGUCAUUGGAAACUGGGGAACUUGAGUGCAGGAGAGGAAAGUGGAAUUCCACGUGUAGCGGUGAAAUGCGUAGAUAUGUGGAGGAACACCAGUGGCGAAGGCGACUUUCUGGCCUGUAACUGACACUGAGGCGCGAAAGCGUGGGGAGCAAACAGGAUUAGAUACCCUGGUAGUCCACGCCGUAAACGAUGAGUGCUAGGUGUUGGGGGGUUUCCGCCCCUCAGUGCUGCAGCUAACGCAUUAAGCACUCCGCCUGGGGAGUACGGCCGCAAAGACUG
rnacentral:rRNA from 1 species